AGUCGCGGGGUACGACGGAGAAAGCUUGCUUUUUCCGGGCGACGACCGGCGCACGGGUGAGUAACGCGUAUCCAACCUGCCCUAUACAAAGGCACAGCCCGGCGAAAGUCGGAUUAAUGCCUUAUGAAGUGAGAAGGAGACAUCUGAUUUUCACUAAAGCUGAGGCGGUAUAGGAUGGGGAUGCGUCCGAUUAGGUAGACGGCGGGGUAACGGCCCACCGUGCCGACGAUCGGUAGGGGUUCUGAGAGGAAGGUCCCCCACACUGGAACUGAGACACGGUCCAGACUCCUACGGGAGGCAGCAGUGAGGAAUAUUGGUCAAUGGGCGAUAGCCUGAACCAGCCAAGUAGCGUGAGGGAAGACGGCCCUAUGGGUUGUAAACCUCUUUAGUCCGGGAAUACAAGUGGGCGACGUGUCGCCUAUUGCAUGUACCGGAAGAAUAAGGACCGGCUAAUUCCGUGCCAGCAGCCGCGGUAAUACGGACAGCGUCCGGGCGUUAUCCGGAUUUACUUGGGUUUAAAGGGAGCGCAGGCGGUCUGAUAAGCGGGCAGUGAAAGACGGUGGCUCAACCAUCGAGGUGCUGUCCGAACUGUCGGACUUGAGUACGUGCGAGGCAGAGCGGAAUUCGUGGUGUAGCGGUGAAAUGCUUAGAUAUCACGAAGAACCCCGAUUGCGAAGGCAGCUUGCCAGUGCGCCACUGACGCUAAAGCUCGAAAGUGCGGGUAUCGAACAGGAUUAGAUACCCUGGUAGUCCGCACGGUAAACGAUGGAUGCUCGCUGUUCGUUGCGUUUAUAGUGAUGAGCGGCCAAGCGAAAGCGUUAAGCAUCCCACCUGGGGAGUACGCCGGCAACGGUGAAACUCAAAGGAAUUGACGGGGGCCCGCACAAGCGGAGGAACAUGUGGUUUAAUUCGAUGAUACGCGAGGAACCUUACCCGGGCUUGAAUUGCAGCUGCAUAGACCAGAGAUGU
rnacentral:rRNA from 1 species